GAGCACGUAGGUGGGUUUGUAAGUCAGAUGUGAAAGCCUUCUGUUCAACGGGAGAAUUGCAUCUGAAACUACAGACCUUGAGUAUAGGAGGGGAGAAUGGAACUUCUGGUGGAGCGGUGAAAUGCGUAGAUAUCAGAAGGAACGCCGGCGGCGAAAGCGAUUCUCUGGCCUAUUACUGACACUCAGUGCGCGAAAGCUAGGGGAGCAAACGGGAUUAGAUACCCCGGUAGUCCUAGCCGUAAACGAUGGGCACUAAGUAGAGGGAAUUACCGAUGUUCUCUCUGCCGUAGCUAACGCAUUAAGUGCCCCGCCUGGGGAGUACGGCCGCAAGGCUAAAACUCAAAAGAAUUGACGGGGGCUCGCACAAGCGGUGGAGCAUGUGGCUUAAUUCGAUGCAACGCGAAAACCUUACCGGGGCUUGACAUGGUAGAAGUAGGAACCCGAAAUGGUAACGAACGGUAUCCAGUCCGUAGCUAUCACAGGUGUUGCAUGGCUGUCGUCAGCUCGUGUCGUGAGACGUUGGGUUAAGUCCCCUAACGAGCGAAACCCUUGUUUUUAGUUACCAGCGGGUUGUGCCGGGUACUCUAGAAAGACUGCCGUCGUCAAGACGGAGGAAGGUGGGGAUGACGUCAAGUCAUCAUGGCCCUUAUGCCCCGGGCUGCACACGUGCUACAAUGGUCGGUACAAACGGAAGCGAAGCCGAGAGGUGAAGCGAAUCC
rnacentral:rRNA from 1 species